rnacentral:rRNA from 1 species
CCUUCCAGGAAAAGCCUCUAAGCUUCAGGUAACAAGGGACCGUACCCCAAACCGACACAGGUGGUCAGGUAGAGAAUACCAAGGCGCUUGAGAGAACUCGGGUGAAGGAACUAGGCAAAAUGGUACCGUAACUUCGGGAGAAGGUACGCCGCUUGGGGUGAUCGGACUUGCUCCGUGAGCUCCGGGCGGUCGAAGUGACCAGGUGGCUGCGACUGUUUAUUAAAAACACAGCACUCUGCAAACACGAAAGUGGACGUAUAGGGUGUGACGCCUGCCCGGUGCCGGAAGGUUAAUUGAUGGGGUCAGCCGCAAGGCGAAGCUCUUGAUCGAAGCCCCGGUAAACGGCGGCCGUAACGAUAACGGUCCUAAGGUAGCGAAAUUCUUGUCGGGUAAGUUCCGACCUGCACGAAUGGCGUAACGAUGGCCACACUGUCUCCACCCGAGACUCAGUGAAAUUGAACUCGCUGUGAAGAUGCAGUGUACCCGCGGCUAGACGGAAAGACCCCGUGAACCUUUACUACAGCUUUGCACUGGACUCUGAAUCUGUUUGUGUAGGAUAGGUGGGAGGCUAUGAAGCCGGAACGCUAGUUCUGGUGGAGCCAACCUUGAAAUACCACCCUGACAUAUUUGGGGUUCUAACCCAGGCCCGUUAUCCGGGUCGGGGACAGUGUAUGGUGGGUAGUUUGACUGGGGCGGUCUCCUCCCAAAGAGUAACGGAGGAGCACGAAGGUACCCUCAGCGUGGUCGGAAAUCACGCUUUUGAGUGCAAAGGCAUAAGGGUGCUUGACUGCGAGAGCGACGGCUCGAGCAGGUGCGAAAGCAGGUCUUAGUGAUCCGGUGGUUCUGAAUGGAAGGGCCAUCGCUCAACGGAUAAAAGGUACUCCGGGGAUAACAGGCUGAUACCGCCCAAGAGUUCAUAUCGACGGCGGUGUUUGGCACCUCGAUGUCGGCUCAUCACAUCCUGGGGCUGAAGCCGGUCCCAAGGGUAUGGCUGUUCGCCAUUUAAAGUGGUACGCGAGCUGGGUUUAGAACGUCGUGAGACAGUUCGGUCCCUAUCUGCCGUGGGCGUUGGAGAUUUGAGGAAAGCUGCUCCUAGUACGAGAGGACCGGAGUGGACGAACCUCUGGUGUUCGGGUUGUCACGCCAGUGGCAUUGCCCGGUAGCUACGUUCGGACGGGAUAACCGCUGAAAGCAUCUAAGCGGGAAGCCUCUUCCAAGAUGAGAUCUCCCCGGGGACUCGAUCCCCCUGAAGGGUUGUUCAAGACCAGGACGUUGAUAGGUGGGGUGUGUAAGCGCUGUGAGGCGUUGAGCUAACCCAUACUAAUUGCCCGUGCGGCUUGAUC